UACGUAGGGGGCGAGCGUUGUCCGAAUUUACUGGGCGUAAAGCGCGCGUAGGCGGUUUCUUAAGUCUGGGGUGAAAGGUUCAACGCUCAACGUGAACAGUGCCUUGGAUACUGGGAGACUUGAGUCUGGGAGGGGGUAGUGGAAUUCCUGGUGUAGCGGUGAAAUGCGUAGAUAUCAGGAGGAACACCGGUGGCGAAGGCGGCUACCUGGCCUAAGACUGACGCUGAGGUGCGAAAGCGUGGGGAGCAAACGGG
rnacentral:rRNA from 1 species